AUUCUUUUAGUAUCACUUAGUACAAUUGACUUCCAAUCAAUCGGCUUCGGUAUAACCCGAAAAAGAAUA
rnacentral:tRNA from 2 species